CCCUUAGAUGUUCUGGGCCGCACGCGUGCUACACUGACCGGCGCAACAAGUUUCUUUCCUUGGCCGAUAGGUCUGGGUAAUCUUUGAACGCUGUUCGUGAUUGGGAUAGACCUUUGCAAUUAUGGGUCUUCAACGAGGAAUUCCUAGUAAACGCAAGUCAUCAGCUUGCAUUGAUUACGUCCCUGCCCUUUGUACACACCGCCCGUCGCACCUACCGAUUGAAUGGUCCGGUGAAAUCUCGGGACGGCGGCUUGGUCGCUUGCGUCCGACUGCUGAAACUUGAUUAAACCAUAUCAUUUAGAGGAAGGUGAANUCGUANCA
rnacentral:rRNA from 1 species